rnacentral:lncRNA from 1 species
ACAUAUUGAAUAAUCCCUCUUCUUGGGCUAUUAUAUGUGCUAAAAAUGGCACGGUUAACAAGGUAGAUAAAAUUAAGUAACAAGUCUCUAACUGGCUGUUCCUCUUUUUAUUCAUUAUUUGCGGUUAUGGUAUACUAACUAUGUUGUAUUAACUUGAUGGUCAAGAUCUAAGUGUUGGUUAACUGUAACUCAGGUUAAGGCAAACCUGAUGACUUUACAAAGUUAAAGUAAAAUCAACUAAAUAUGUCAUAAAUACUUGCAGCAGAGGAGAUCAGAAGAGAGUGAGAAAAAAUUAGACAAGAAAAGGCAUGAUGGAGAUGACUCUUCUGUCAGAAUUGUGAACAGGACUUCGUACCAGACCUCUGCUUGCAGCAGAGAUUCUGUGAAGCCAGGUACAAAUAUGUUGUUUGGUUAAAAAUACAUCAGAUAGACAUAAAAUGGUUGACUGUGCUGUAGCCUCCAGUUUGUGACCAUGUUUCUAAAUUUAGAAUAAUUAAGGAACAGGAUUUCUUUUCUGUGUGACUUUGAUAAGGGGGGGUGACUUAGGUCUUUUUGCUGAUUGAACCGAUACAAAAAUUUUCCUAAGCAAGCUGAGUUUACAGUUGCUUAUUGAGUCAGUGUUGUGUAUAUACGUUGGUUCUAAUUGCUAGUUUGUUUUUUUUUUUUAAUAUGAACUAUGUGUAGCAAUAGUUCUUGUGAUGAUUACUGUAGUUAUGCCAACUAGUGUACUAUAGAACAUACCUAGAAAUGAUCACAAGCAAGUUUAAUUAUGUAGACUUACAUGCUUUAUUCAGACAGGUUCAAUAAAACUACAAACAAGAAGUCAACUCAAACUCCAAAACCAGAGUCUCUACCUGUACCUGCUUUUGAAGCUACCAUUCUGCAUUUCCACAAGUCACAGAGUCUGGGAAGCAGUGAGAUACUGAAUGUACAGCAUAAAAGUGGACCAAUAUGUUCAGCGGAAAGUAACAUUACGUGCCUUAAUCAGCCACAGAUGUCUCUUUUGUUGAACACAGAGGAAGAUACUUCUGUGGAAAGCAAAGCUUCAUCAAAAACUUUAGAUGAAACAGUAGCCAGAUUAAUUCCCUCUUCAUUUGAUGGUAGAGCAUUUCCUGAAACACCUGCAGAUGGCUCUGCUCAGCCACAUGUGUCUUGGGCCAUGGUACUUUCACAGCCCCCAAAGAAAAUUGUGUCAUCACCAGCAUCUGAAGGUCCUUCCAGAGGCAAAGGGAAGCAGGAUAGUGAAGCAAAGGUACUUCAAAAUUGUCUGCUCUAAACUAAUUUCUGUCACUGUGUGGUUGUCUCUUGAUGUGAGACAUUGCCAUUUCUUUCCUAGGUUCUGUGCAGUGUCCACUUCUAAUGUAGCUUUACAAAGUGGUAUAAAGUUACCUUGUCCAUAUUAGAACUUUUCUUCUCUUGAGUGGAAAAGAAUAACAAGA